UAGGGAAUUUUACGCAAUGGGCGAAAGCCUGACGUAGCGACACCGCGUGAACGAAGAAGCCUUUUGGGGUGUAAAGUUCUGUCGGCUGGGAAGAAAAAAAUGACGGUACCAGCAAAGGAAGCAUCGGCUAACUACGUGCCAGCAGCCGCGGUAAUACGUAGGCAGCAAGCGUUGUUCGGAGUUACUGGGCGUAAAGAGUGCGUAGGCGGUUCUCCAAGUCUGGUGUGAAAUCUCCCGGCUCAACUGGGAGGGUGCGCCGGAAACUGGGGGGCUCGAGUAUGGGAAAGGCAGGCGGAAUUCCUGGUGUAGCGGUGAAAUGCGUAGAUAUCAGGAGGAACACCGGCGGUGUAGACGGCUUGCUAGACCAUGACUGACGCUGAGGCACGAAAGCGUGGGUAGCAAACAGG
rnacentral:rRNA from 1 species